GAGGAUAAGCUCGAAAAUUGCCGUUGAGAACUGUAUAAUUAAAAAUUAUUAUGUGGGCCUAAAAUUAGCCAUCACAAAAGUUUGUUAUAAAAUAGUAAAAACACAUAAAAAUAUUUCUAUACACGAUACCACGCUAAGCUAUAAGAAUAAUAAUUUAAAUCAAUAAAUUAAUAUACCUAUGCUAGGAUGAGUAUUAAAAUUGCUAUAAGAAAAAUUAAAGAUUUUCUUAGAAAUUGUUUCUAAUGCCUAAUUAAAGACAAGGAACUCGGCAAAUGUUGUUCCGCCUGUUUAUCAAAAACAUGGCUCUUUGAAAAAAGCACAUAAAGAGUCGAACCUGCCCAGUGAAGUUUUAACGGCCGCGGUACCCUGACCGUGCAAAGGUAGCAUAAUCACUUGCCUUAUAAUUGAAGGCUGGCAUGAAUGGUCUGACGAGAGCUACACUGUCUCCUCUUUAUUAUCUAGAAAUUAACCUAUAGGUGAAGAGGCCUAUAUUAUAUUGAAGGACAAGAAGACCCUGUCGAGCUUAAAAGUAAAGUAAGAAUUAGCUAUAGAAGGAAAUCAAUAAAUUACAUAACUUUUUAGUUGGGGCGACUAAGGAACAAAUAAAGCUUCUUUUAUUUUUAUAGAUUAACAGAUCUUGAUCCAGCUAACGCUGAUUAGAGGAAUUAGUUACCGCAGGGAUAACAGCAUAAUCUCCUUUGAGAGACCUAAUCGAAAGGGGGGGGUUGUGACCUCGAUGUUGGACUAGAAUAUCCUGAAGAUGCA
rnacentral:rRNA from 1 species